rnacentral:rRNA from 1 species
UACAGAGGGCUCAAGCGUUGUUCGGAUUUAUUGGGCGUAAAGGGCGCGUAGGCGGCGGGGUAAGUCGGGUGUGAAAUCUCAGGGCUCAACCCUGAAACUGCACUUGAUACUGCUCUGCUUGAGGACUGGAGAGGAGACUGGAAUUCACGGUGUAGCAGUGAAAUGCGUAGAGAUCGUGAGGAAGACCAGUGGCGAAGGCGGGUCUCUGGACAGUUCCUGACGCUGAGGCGCGAAGGCCAGGGGAGCAAACGGG